CCUACGGGUGGCAGCAGUGGGGAAUAUUGCACAAUGGGGGAAACCCUGAUGCAGCGACGCCGCGUGAGUGAAGAAGUAUUUCGGUACGUAAAGCUCUAUCUGCCGGGAAGAAAAAAAGUCCUUUGGACUUUGGACGGUACCUGACUAAGAAGCCCCGGCUAACUACGUGCCAGCAGCCGCCGUUAUACGUAGGGGACAUGCGUUCUCCGGAUUUACUGGGUGUAAAGGGAGGGUAGACGGCCGCGCAAGUCUGGAGUCAAAUGGCGGGGCCCAACCCCGGAACUGCUUUGGAAACUGUGCAGCUGGAGUGCAGGAGAAGUAAGCGGAAUUCCUAGUGUAGCGGUGAAAUGCGUAGAUAUUAGGAGGAACACCAGUGGCGAAGGCAGCUUACUGGACUGUAACUGACGUUGAGGCACGAAAGCGUGGGGAGCGAACAGGAUUAGAUACCCGAGUAGUC
rnacentral:rRNA from 1 species